GAUGAACGCUGGCGGCGUGCCUAAUACAUGCAAGUCGAGCGAACGGACGAGAAGCUUGCUUUUCUGAUGUUAGCGGCGGACGGGUGAGUAACACGUGGAUAACCUACCUAUAAGACUGGGAUAACUUCGGGAAACCGGAGCUAAUACCGGAUAAUAUUUUGAACCGCAUGGUUCAAAAGUGAAAGACGGUCUUGCUGUCACUUAUAGAUGGAUCCGCGCUGCAUUAGCUAGUUGGUAAGGUAACGGCUUACCAAGGCAACGAUGCAUAGCCGACCUGAGAGGGUGAUCGGCCACACUGGAACUGAGACACGGUCCAGACUCCGACGGGAGGCAGCAGUAGGGAAUCUUCCGCAAUGGGCGAAAGCCUGACGGAGCAACGCCGCGUGAGUGAUGAAGGUCUUCGGAUCGUAAAACUCUGUUAUUAGGGAAGAACAUAUGUGUAAGUAACUGUGCACAUCUUGACGGUACCUAAUCAGAAAGCCACGGCUAACUACGUG
rnacentral:rRNA from 1 species